rnacentral:rRNA from 1 species
GAUGAACGCUGGCGGCGUGCCUAAUACAUGCAAGUCGAGCGAACAGAUAAGGAGCUUGCUCCUUUGACGUUAGCGGCGGACGGGUGAGUAACACGUGGGUAACCUACCUAUAAGACUGGGAUAACUUCGGGAAACCGGAGCUAAUACCGGAUAACAUUUGGAACCGCAUGGUUCUAAAGUGAAAGAUGGUUUUGCUAUCCCUUAUAGAUGGACCCGCGCCGUAUUAGCUAGUUGGUAAGGUAACGGCUUACCAAGGCGACGAUACGUAGCCGACCUGAGAGGGUGAUCGGCCACACUGGAACUGAGACACGGUCCAGACUCCUACGGGAGGCAGCAGUAGGGAAUCUUCCGCAAUGGGCGAAAGCCUGACGGAGCAACGCCGCGUGAGUGAUGAAGGGUUUCGGCUCGUAAAACUCUGUUAUUAGGGAAGAACAAAUGUGUAAGUAACUGUGCACGUCUUGACGGUACCUAAUCAGAAAGCCACGGCUAACUACGUG